rnacentral:tRNA from 1 species
GCCCCUGUCGUCUAGUGGAUAGGAUAGGAGCUUGCGGAGCUUCUGACUGGGGUUCAAAUAUGCUUCGAGUCUCACCAGAAACAGAACAAGACGCGGAGCGUUGACUCUCCCCGCGGGGGCA